rnacentral:rRNA from 1 species
UAAAGCUCCAGCGCUUCGAGAUGAAUCUGCGUCCUAUCAGCUAGUUGGUAGAGUAAUGGUCUACCAAGGCUAAGACGGGUAACUGGUCUGAGAGCAUGGUCCCCCACAGUGGCACUGAAAUACGGGCCACACUCCUACGGGAGGCAGCAAUCAGGAAUCUUGCACAAUCGACGAAACUCUGAUGCAGCGACACCGCGUGAGCGAUGAAGACCCUCGGGUUGUAAACUCCUUUUAUGGUCGUAACAGAUUCUGGAUGGAGUCCCGAAUAAUCACCUCGCGUAAUUGCUUGCCGCCAAGCAUCCGUGGAAGCGUGGUAGUGCGAGCGUGAUCCUCCAUAAUAGGGCGUGUAGAGAUCCUUAAGCGCUGUUGCUAAGUCUGCGUGUCUAAACCUCCGGGCUCACCUCAGAGAGGUCGAGCAUACUAUCAGAAUUGAAAGGCAGAGGAGGAAGUCGAAUUCCCCGUGUGAUCCGUGAAAUGCCUUGAAUUCCGGAAGAACCCCCAUGUGCCAAAGGCAGUCCCUUGCUCUGUUCUUAAGCCUAAGCGCGAAAGCUUGGAGAGCAAACCGGAUUAGAUACCCGUGUAGUCCAAGCCGUAAACGAUGGAUACUGGA